CAUCACCAAGCCGGCGAUCCGGAGGCUGGCCCGGAGGGGCGGCGUGAAGCGCAUCUCGGGGCUCAUCUACGAGGAGACCCGCGGCGUGCUCAAGAUCUUCCUCGAGAACGUCAUCCGCGACGCCGUCACCUACACCGAGCACGCCCGCCGCAAGACCGUCACCGCCAUGGACGUCGUGUACGCGCUCAAGCGCCAGGGCCGCACCCUCUACGGCUUCGGCGGCUGAAGAGCCGCGGC
rnacentral:lncRNA from 1 species